rnacentral:snRNA from 1 species
GUGCUCAUUUUAGCAGUACAUAUACUAAAAUUAGAAAGAUACAGAGAAGAUUGGCACGGCCCUGCAUAAGGAUAGCACACAAAUUCAUAAAGCAUUCCAUGUUUUC